rnacentral:misc_RNA from 1 species
CAAAUGUUUGUAAUGCGCAUGCGUUGAUCUCAGUUAUCAAUCUCACAUGUGUUUUCACGUUGAUUACACGUUAUUAUUACAGAAACGUCAAAUACAUAGCAAAAAUGCCAAACGCAUAUUGUGUGUUGUGUGGUAAUCGCGAUAAAUUGGUUUCAUAUUAUACAUUUCCGAAAAAUAAGGAAUUUCGUGAAAAAUGGCUGUCUUUUUGUGGCAUCAACGAAAAAGUUUUGAACACAACAACUAAAUUAUGUUCAAAUCAUUUUCAAAAAGAAGAUAUCAUCAACAAAACGAAAGGUUCAAUCAUUAAGCCCAAUGCUGUGCCGUGCAUUAUUAUUAAAAAGAAAAGGUUACACAUAGAAAAUGUACCAUUGAGCGAAAAUUAUACAACAAUAAAUUUUCCACCGUCAAGUUAUGAAAGAACUGCCAAAACUGAAACAGUUGCAGAAGAAUCUAGAACAAAUCAAAUUGCCACUGAUGAAAUCAUUGUCGAGACUGAAAAAGUUACAGAAGAGAUUAGAACAAAUCAAAUUGCCACCAAUGAAAUUGAAAAUAUGUAUUUUAACAAUGCAUCUCACAAAGAAAAUAUAGCAGCAAAUCGGCCAUCAACACCAUUAAGUUCUAGGAAUAUUGAGUGUUUUCAACAUCUAUCAAAACUGUACGUGUACCUCGCUAUGUUGGUGACAUUCAAAUGUCACAUAUUUAUACACCUAGAAGAGCUAAAAGAGCUUUAGAUAUAGCAAAGAAGACCAUACAAAAUCAACAAAAAAAGAUAAAAGCUUUAAAACAAUCACAAAAGAGAUUAGUUACUCGCCUAAAAACAAUGGAAGGAUUAAUAGGACAUUUGAAACAAAAAGAUCUACUAUCAGAAGCGACUGCUGAAAAUUUAAUGCAAACUAAAUGUAGGAUGUAUCUUUUAUUGAUCGAAAUAUAUAUAAGGAAAUCAGAAAAUAAUGAAUGAGGAAUUUGUAUAUUUAAAUAAUAAAAUAAAAUAAAUAAUAAAUAUGUGAAUUAUAUAUACAUA